UGUAGUAAAAAUAUCCGACACUUUCACCCAACAACCCUAACUUCAAACAUAUCUCAAUCAGUCUUUUUGAAAAAUUUGAGCCAAAUUUGCGAACGAUGAUUCAACGAAAUUGAUAUCUUUAUAUACUAAACUCUAAUCUUGAAUAGAUUUCAUCAAGAGAAGGAAAAAAUAAUGGAAGUAACAGCUCGAGCACCCGGAAAAAUCAUUCUUGCUGGUGAACAUGCUGUCGUUCAUGGAUCUGCUGCUGUUGCUGCUUCAAUUGAUCUAUAUACCACAAUUACUCUCCGAAUUCCAAGUGAUUCUGAUGCCAGCGAUGGAUUACUAAAAAUUAAGCUCGAGGAUAUGGGGUUAGAGUUCUCAUGGCCAGUAGAAAAGAUAAAAGACGUGCUUCCUGAUUUGGGGAAUCCUCUUUCUUCUCAACCACAAUCAUGUUCCCAUGAGUCAUUGAAAUCAAUUGCUAGUCUAGUCGAAGAACAAAAUAUCCCAGAGGCUAAAAUCGAACUUGCUUCUGGUCUUUAUGCAUUUCUCUGGAUGUACACCUCAAUUCAUGGUUACAAACCUGCUACAGCAAUUGUUACUUCUACUCUUCCACUUGGUUCCGGUUUGGGUUCUUCUGCAUCAUUCUGCGUGUCAGUCUCAGCUGCAUUGCUUGCUUUAACAAGUGCUGUAAGUUUAGAUUUGGGACACAAAGGUUGGUUGAGUUUCAGGGAGGACAAUCUGGAAUUGGUGAACAAAUGGGCGUACGAAGGAGAAAAAAUAAUUCACGGGAAACCAUCAGGAAUCGACAACACAGUAAGCACAUUCGGCAAUAUGAUUAUGUUCAAGUCUGGUAAUUUGACUCGUAUGAAGUCCAGUAUGCCACUAAGGAUGCUCAUCACUAAUACAAAGGUCGGUAGGAACACAAAGGCAUUAGUUGCUGGUGUAUCAGAGAGAACAUUGAGACAUCCAGAAGCUAUGAAUGCUGUAUUUAUAGCAGUUGACUAUAUCAGUAAGGAGUUAUCCUCCAUUAUCCAAUCACCUGCUGCUGAUCCCCUCUCGCUAACUGAGAAAGAAGAGAAGCUGGAAGAAUUGAUGGAGAUGAACCAAGGGCUGCUUCAGUGUAUGGGGGUUAGUCAUGCUUCUAUAGAAACAGUUCUGCGAACGACUCUGAAGCACAAGCUAUCUUCCAAGCUGACUGGGGCAGGCGGAGGAGGCUGUGUUCUGACAUUGUUACCUACAUUGCUAUCUGGAAAUGUUAUUGACAAAGUCAUAGCAGAGCUGGAGUCAUGUGGGUUUCAUUGCCAGAUAGCUGGAAUCGGGGGAAGUGGUGUUGAGAUCUUGCUUCGAUAAUUCACCUUGAUCAUUUAGCCACCACAUUUGAUGAAAAAGGAAAAAUAAAAUUCAGAAGAAACUCUCUGAAACUCGGGAUAAGUUUAAAACCAAUAACUGCAAUGAAAAACGGCAUUCGUGCAUUCGUUACUCAUCGUUUUAAUCAGAAAUCUCGCAGGAACUGCAAGUUAACUACAGAACAAUAAUGGAUGAGUAAAUGCUAGUUUACCUAGUCAGGAAGAAGUACGAAAAGAUGUUAGUCCUAAAAACCCUUUCAAGCCUCUCUUCAUCAAUAUCUUCAAUAGAACCUGCUUUGUGUUGUUCAGCAGCAUUGUUUACAAGAAUAUCAAUCUUUCCGAAGGCAUUGACAACUUCAUCGAUAACUCGUUUGCAGUUCUCAUCAUAGCCUAAAUCAGUUGGUAUACAAAUUGGGUCUUUAGCAUCACUUGUUUUUGCUUGUUUUAUCAUCUGAAGUGUAUCUUUAGCAUCUUUCUCUUCCUGAGAUUUGUCAUAAGUGAAUGCAACUGUUGCACCUUCAAGUGCAAAGCAGUUACAAACAGCUCUUCCUAUUCCUGAAUCACCCCCAGUUACCAAUGCAACCUUCCCCUGCAG